AGCUCCAGCAGCGUAUACUAAAGUUGCUGCGUUUAAAAAGCUCGUAGUUGGAUUUCGGGCCGCCGGCGGCGGUGCGGUCACAUGUCCGUCGACUGCCGUCGGCGCCUAACCGGCGGGACGCAGCGGGUGCCCUUAGCUGGGUCGCCCGCGGCACCCGCCCAGUUUACUUUGGAAAAAUUAGAGUGUUCAAAGCAGGCGCCAGUGCCUGAAUAACGUUGCAUGGAAUAAUGGAAUAGGACCACGAAUCCUAUUUUGUUGGUUUGCGGAGUACGUGGUAAUGAUUAACAGGGACUGCCGGGGGCAUUCGUACUGCGGCGCGAGAGGUGAAAUUCUAAGACCGUCGCAAGACGAACUACUGCGAAAGCAUUUGCCAAGAAUGUUUUCAUUAAUCAAGAACGAA
rnacentral:rRNA from 1 species